CUAGAAAAUAAGCUCCAUGAAGGCAGGGAAGCCUUACCCUCAUUUUGUUCACCGCAAGCCUGGCCCAGAGCAGAUACUCAAUGACUACUUGAACGAAUAUGUGAAUGAUUCAGGGUCUGUUUUGGAACACAGCCUUCCAGAAGAUGCUCUUUCCUUAGGCAAGGCUCUGGUGCAGCUCCUGUCACACCCCCAAGGCUCACAGAAGCUCUGAACUCCUAGACCAGGAUGAGAUGCCUGGGAGUGACAUCUGGUUUCCCUGCAGCUACCUGGAGAAGCCAGGUGACGCACCUGGAAAGUGUUUGAUGAUUUUAACUAAUGGGAGACAGAAGAUGAGAGAAAGCAGAUGAAAGAAAGACACAAGACCAAGUAAACUGCCUUGGGGAAAAUCAUCCUCAACAGCAAGUUGUGUUCCUAUUGAAGGAUCCUCCUGUCUGGGCUAAAGAAUAUACAGCUUUUCAUCGUUAACAUGGGAAGAUUGAUGAGAAAUAUUUGCUUACUCUUCAGAU